rnacentral:rRNA from 1 species
UACGGAGGGUGCAAGCGUUAUCCGGAUUCACUGGGUUUAAAGGGAGCGCAGGCGGAUUUGUAAGUCAGUGGUGAAAGGCUUAAGCUUAACUUGGGAACUGCCAUUGAAACUGUUAGACUUGAGGACGAGAGAGGUGAGUGGAAUUCCCAGUGUAGAGGUGAAAUUCGUAGAUAUUGGGAAGAACACCGGUGGCGAAGGCGGCUCACUGGCUCGUAUCUGACGCUCAGGCGCGACAGCGUGGGGAUCAAACAGG